UUGUGUUAAUGAUUACAAGUUCUAUGACUGAAUAAUUGAGGAUAAUGAAUUUCCCACCAUAGGUUUGCUUGAAAAUUCCCUUGUAUUUUCAUGCUACAAUUGAUGACCGUUGUUUUUAUUUCCAUGUAUUACUAAAGUGUGAAUGUUAUAUUGGUCUUUUUGGUAUCGCUGACAUGUAUUUAUUGUCAACAGGAUUGUGCAAGUGGAUCUAAAG
rnacentral:misc_RNA from 1 species